ACAGAUUCCUGAUUGUGAUAAACCAUCAAGUUCAGUGGAAAACCAGGUUCAAAACUUAAUAUAUUGCUAUUACUUGUUACUUGUUGUCUUGUACUGUAGGAUGUAAUUCUGGCUUUUCCAGAUUGAGUCAAAUAAUCUAGGGCUGGUUAUAUAAAACUCUAACUACUUUUUAUCAACUAUUUUGUAGUUAAACAGUAAUUAACCCCGGUUGAAAAAAUAGUUUGUGAGCGUCCCAACAGGGAAUCGAAGGUCUCUGGUUUGAUAUCCCCAGGGCUUUCAACAUUAUUAAAAUAUGGGUUAAGUUUUGACAACUUUUCAAGUGUGUCCCGUUUGGGAGGUGUGUCCCGUUUGACUCCAUCAGUUUGUAGUCAGUUAAGCUUGUUUACUGCAGUAUAGGAAUGGAUGAAAUUCUUGUUGAAACGAAACGCGUCAUUAAAAGACGCUAAAACGUCAGAAUUUUGAUGAAUCCUUCGAUUCUACUGAAAUUGUAGUUUUAGUUUUCAGAUGGUUUUCAGUAAAAAAACACUUAUAUGUUUGUUCUAGCUAUUUUCUUGCCCGUGGUUUAGAGGUGGAUGAGUGUCUCUAUAGAGCGAUCCCAAAAGCUCAGUGGUUUUUAGCAAAUGACUUGACACCAUUUGGAAAAGCCACAGUUAUAUGAUGACCUACAAAUGUGUAAAUAACCUUGCAUCGAUUACCUGUGCAAUAAGUUUAGGAAAAGGUCAUCAAUUAAUCCAUAAACGUCAGACUCGCAUACAGGACUCUCUGCAAAUACCACUCUUCAAAACUGUAGCUGGUCAAUUAUACGCUUGUUUGGCUAUAGAGCUGUCCACAUUUGGAACAAUUUAGAUAAAAACCUGAAAGAUAGCGCUUCCUUUAAAAUCUUCAAGACAGCACUUAAAAAACAUUUGCUUGUCAAGGAGAACGUUUAAUAACUUACUAAACUUUGUGCAUGGUCGACAAAAAAAUUGUAAAUAAUUUCUGAAAAACCCUUUCAGGGAGAAAUUUUAUUAAAUAUGUAUCUAUCGAUAUGUUUCUCCAUAUACAGUAAUUUAUACCAUAACUUAUAUAUCUGAAUGCUUAUGACACGUACCCAGAAUAAUGAUAAAGUUUUAUUAUAAAUUGUUCUGUAGAAGAUGACAAAUUCAUAUUGUGAGCCAGGGACUAGUAGCAGCUCAGUAAGUAAUUAUGUUACUUCAAUACUUGUAUAUGUUGUAUAUUGCAUCAUAAUACAGAAUAUGUACAUUGCAGUGUAAAAAUUGUGUUCACUAAUUAACAAUUAUUUGCCGAAGGCGAGGUGAAUAUCAGUGAAUAAAAAACGAGACGGAGUCGAUGUUUUUAUUCACGAUAAUCACCGAGCCCGAGGUGAAUAAUUGUUUUAGUACAAUUUCAUAGGUGAUUAUUUGGAAAAAAAUAAAAAUACACAUUUUCAUUUAUCGCUUUCUGUAAAAAUUAUCGCUUUUCAAAGACUGUCUUUAUAUAAUAAACAGAAAAAUACACGUGUGCUUGGAAAUACCAGAUUUAUUUCUCGUGUUGAACAUUAUAUCUCACUCGUUCGCUGCGCUCACCCGUGGGAUAUCAUGUUCAACACUCGAAAUAAAUCUGGUAUUACCGCGCACCCAUGUAUUAUUCUCUAUAUAAUCACCUCAACAGCGUGGAGAAUUGUCAAUAAUUACCUAUGUAAGUAUACUUAUAGAAAAUAUGCACAUUUUGUUUGAUUUAGAAUGGUGAGCGACAGGGAACUUCGUCCAAAUCAGUGAGUAUGACUAGUGCUGAUGUUCAAAUAAUAAAUUAUUGCUGUGAUGCAGUGUUCUUGUUGGCAAUGAAUACGAGUAACGCGAUACCAUUAACACUUUAUAACAAUGGAUCAUACCUAUAAGCUACUGUAUAGACGAAAUUUUGAUCUAGACAAGGAGAACGAAAUCCAUUACAUGCGUAGCUGGAAAGAGCAUCUUAAAAUUGGUAAAUUUGCAAUGUUUGGUUGCGAGUUGUGGUAAAAUGAGGAAAAUACACUGUACAGCCCUGUGAAGUUCGCAAAUUUUGUAUAUAUUUGCAUUAUACGCGCGGGAAAAAUAACCAUUUUUGAGCCGAAAGUGGUUAUUUUUACCGCGCGUAAUACAAAUAUAUACAAAAUUUGCGAACUUCAGAGGGCUAUAUUUUCUUCAUUUUACAACAUUAAGCAACCAAUCUUUGCAUGCAGGUUUACUUAUUCUAAGACGCCCUGUCUAGCUGUGGUGUUGGAUUUCGGAAUCACCCCUUAUAUACACUUUAUUAAUAAUACUGUUAAGCCUGGUUCACAUAUGUCUGCGAUAUGCCUGCGACGUCAUUGUUUAGCUAUUGAUGCAUAGAUUCUUUUAUGAAUUAUUUGGUCGAACUGCUAAAGACAAUAGCCUGCCGACACAUCGCAGACAUAUAUGAACCAGGCUUUACACGGGACUUCCGUGCAAUUGUUGGUAGUAAAGGUGGUACUGGCUAUUGUCCUCUCUUGGACAACCAUUUCGUUUGUUUUCUUUCAUACGAUUGUUCAGCGCCCAACUGUAUAUGCUUUCAUUUUGCCUUUAUUUACAGAGCUACAAAUCUUUUACCAAGAAUAUUUUAAAGUAUACUGUAUCAAGGUUAGAAACCUAUUGCUCUUGAUUUAGCUAAAAUUUCUACCAUUCUACAUAUGUAUCUUGAAUUUUUAUACUGUAGUUCUAAAUAUUUAAAUUGUAUUUAUUUUCUCAGAGGCCGAAGUCGACAUGUUGAUCAUGAAUUUGACCUGGAUUUAACUUAUAUCACAGAUCGGAUUAUUGGUAAGUCUUU